UACAGAGGUCCCAAGCGUUGUUCGGAUUCACUGGGCGUAAAGGGUGCGUAGGUGGCGAAGUAAGUUGGAUGUGAAAGCUCCGAGCUUAACUCGGAAAUGGCAUUCAAAACUACUUUGCUAGAGGGUUGGAAGGGAGACUGGAAUUCACGGUGUAGCAGUGAAAUGCGUAGAUAUCGUGAGGAAGACCAGUGGCGAAGGCGGGUCUCUGGACAGUUCCUGACGCUGAGGCGCGAAGGCCAGGGGAGCAAACGGG
rnacentral:rRNA from 1 species